AUACGGAGGGUGCAAGCGUUACUCGGAAUCACUGGGCGUAAAGCGCGCGCAGGCGGCUAUUUAAGUUGGAUGUGAAAGCCUACGGCUCAACCGUAGAACUGCAUCCAAAACUAUUUAGCUAGAGUGUGGGAGAGGAAGAUGGAAUUAGUUGUGUAGGGGUAAAAUCCGUAGAGAUAACUAGGAAUACCAAAAGCGAAGGCAAUCUUCUGGAACACUACUGACGCUGAGGCGCGAAAGCGUGGGGAGCAGACGGGAUUAGAAACCCUAGUAGUCC
rnacentral:rRNA from 1 species